rnacentral:rRNA from 1 species
CAGUAGCCGCGGUAAUACGAAGGGUGCAAGCGUUACUCGGAAUUACUGGGCGUAAAGCGUGCGUAGGUGGUGGUUUAAGUCCGUUGUGAAAGCCCUGGGCUCAACCUGGGAAUUGCAGUGGAUACUGGGUCACUAGUGUGUGGUAGAGGAUAGUGGAAUUUCCGGUGUAGCAGUGAAAUGCGUAGAGAUCGGAAGGAACAUCUGUGGCGAAGGCGACUAUCUGGGCCAACACUGACACUGAGGCACGAAAGCGUGGGAGCAAACAGGAUUAGAUACCCGAGUAGUCCCUGUCUCUUAUACA